CACCAAUCUCCACUCUCCAGUUCCUCUUCUAUAUCCCUCUCUAUCCCAAUCCCUCUCUCUCUCUCUCUCUACACUCUCUCCAAGAGCUCUCCCGGUUUACACCUUUAACCAUCCUAACACCACCACCCUCAACCACUAAAACCACCCAAAACACCCCUAUUUCUCUUAUACACGACUGCCAAGCUCCUCCAAAAAAAAAAAAAAAAAAAAUUCAUACUAUUGCUACCUAUUUCCCUCGUCGUUGUCGGCCAACAGAAAGGAAGAAAAUAGAGGCAACAAAGCUGCCAGAAGCAGCUCCGCCACCUCACUGCCGCCGCUACUGUGGAAGUCCGACCAACCAUCACCACUGCUUUGCUACCGCAGUAGGUAUCAUUUCAAUCGCCCCUCGAUUUUAUUUUUGUGCUUCAUUUCGUUGUUAGUAAAUCAACCUAGACGAGACCUAAUUCUUUUUUUUAUUUUCGUUUGUUGUAUACAAGCGUACGUGACCACGAGGAGGAGACUCCUCCUCAAACCUCCAUUGAUUUUAUUUAAAACAAACCCCUGACUUGUGUUGGUUUUCGCAAAUCAGCCCUCUAAACUUUGAUUCCAAUUUAUUUCUUCCAACAUUCCCAUGAAUAUUAUUUACAUUGUUGGUUGUUAAGCAAGUAUACAAAGCAAAAAGAAACCCAUGCACACGUUUAUUUUUAUCAGUAAACAUUCAAAACAAUUUCUCAAAUUCAUUUCAAAUACUUUCGAUCCUGUUUUCGUAAUUUGUUAAAAAAUAAUCUCAAACUUUAUUUAUUUCUUUAUUUAAAAUCCACCCUAAGUUUGCAUUACUUAUUCAAUAUAGCCCUCCCAAAGUUAAAUGUAAAUAAACCAUUUUAGUCUAUCAUUGGAAAUGGUUAGCAAAAAUCGGCCAGAUUCAAUUUAUUUAUUUUAACAAAGCAACCCUAUAUUUUGGUUAAAUUACAAAACAACCCACACUUAUUAAUUUAUACAAAAAUUACCCUUUGAUUAAAUAGGUAACUAAAUUAAUUCCGGCGGUUCGUUUUAGAAGCAACACAUUUCGGUUUCUCGCAUCAAAUACGCAAAACGACUCAUUAACCGCUUGAUAAGGUGAGUGUUACGGCCCCACUUUUACAUAUUUUCGGGGGGGGGNNNNGGGGGGGGGGAAUACAUGUAGUACUUUUAUAUCUACUAUAUAUCUAUUUUAUAAACACUUUGUUUAAACAAACAACACCACCGUUUUUUUUAUGCAAUAUAAACAGAAAUAGUAUUUAUUACGCUACUAUUUACGGUACGGGGAAUUUGGUUUGAAGGGCCGAAUGGGUUGCUGGAUUUCAGAAGUACUAUAAUGCCAAAAUGGCCCUGCCCUCGGUGUUUCAUGUCUGGCCCUCGUCUGUACAUGAUAGUACAUGUACUAAGUGAUAUUUAUCAUACGAAAUACACAAAAAAUAUCUUUGUUUUGUGUAAAUAUUUUACCAGUUUUAGAAAUAAUUGUUUAAACGCUUACAUGUUAAGUAAACAAAAUUGUUUUAAACCUCAAUAGAUACAUAUGUUAUGAUGUUAAAGAUAAUACAACUAAAUAACAUAUACGUUUUGACUAAAAUUAUGCUAUGGCUGUAUAGCCGGUUAUCAACUUGAUAGUUUCAUUAUACCUCAUACAUAGAUAAAAAUAUAUAUAGGUUUAUAUAUUUUUACGAGUUAUAGAGCUCGUACCUUAGGCUCAAUUAUGUGCUUGUACUCGAAGUUUUAUCAAUUGUUUAUACAAGUAUUGUACUUUUCAAUGUGUACGCUUAUCAAAUAUACUUGUGAAUUACCUGUUUAUCCGUAUCUGCGGUUGUUAAGUUCAACCUUGGCAGAUAACUUUAUCCGUAUAUCCGUAUAUCUGUUUAUGACAUAAAUAUAUAGGUUUAUACAUUUAUACAAGUUAUAGAACUUGUAUCUUAGGCUCAUACAUGUGCUUGUAUACACUAUACUAAGUUUUGUCAACUGUUUAAACAAGUAUCGCACACUUUACGUGUGUGCUUAUCAAAUAUACUUGUUGUUUAUCCGUAUCUGCGGUUGUUAAGUUCAACCUUGGCAGAUAACUGUAUCCGUAUAUCCGUAUGUUUGUUUAUCCGUAUCUGCGGUUGUGAAGUACAACCUUGGCAGAAAACUUUAUUCGUUACCCGUACAACCAUGGAUUUGGUUGCUUUCAAACACAAUUUAAAAUAUGGAAUUACUAAUGGAACAUAACGUUUUGGCUUCAAAGAUUUAUUACAAACACAACUUUAAGUAUGGAAUUACUUAUGAAACAUAACGUUUCGACUUUCAAAGAUUCAUUACAAUCACAGUUUUACGUAUGGGUUUACUUAUACAAACUAUACAUUUUGGCUUUUAAAAACUCAUUGCAAACACUGUUUUAACUGUUGUUAUACAUACAAAGAUAAUACUUUUUAGACCUACUAAAAGUAUUACUGCGUUAGCAGAAAACCUGUGACACUCACCAACCUUUGUGUUGACUUUCAAAAUUACAUGUAUUCUUAGGGGAUCAUUAGCCAGACGUUCAGACAGAAGAUUAGCUGUGGAUUGCAGGCGACCUAGCUAGCUUGUUUUUGAUAUUUGCCUACCUGUUUAAGGCAACUACUGUACUAUUAUUAUCUGUAAGAACCUUGUAUUCAAACUUAAUGAUGAAAUACAAAUGCAGUUUUGUUUAUCGUUGUACUUGUGCUAUAUAUUCAGUUUAUCUGUGAUCCAUGAACUUAGUCCCACUCCCGGCGUGUUUCGCCUUGGUCGGGGGUGUGACAGUUAUGACUUAGGGGCUUACAUGAAAGGACUUAGAACACCAAAAUCUUAACAUAUGGGGAGUAAAAAUGAGUUUACGGUCCAAGGACAUUCUUGGACCGUAAACCCAUCUUCAAAGACCGUAAACACCUUUUUGGGUGAUAAAUUACUCCUCAAACACCUCCAAAAGCUUUCAUGAGUGCCUAGAACCUUGUAUUCCUUCAUGUGAUGCACCAAAACGUGCCCAAAUGUGCAACACUUGAGUUUACAGUUUGGGAGGUCUCCCAAAACUGUAAACACCUUUCCAAGGUGUUUAAGUGCCUUUAACACCUUCUUAUGCUCAUGUAAGUGACUAGAACCUUGCCUACAUAGCCUAGAACCACCAAAGCACAAAAGAAAU
rnacentral:lncRNA from 1 species